rnacentral:rRNA from 1 species
GGUGGAGCAUGUGGUUUAAUUCGAAGCAACGCGAAGAACCUUACCUGGUCUUGACAUCCCGAUGACCUCUCUUUAACCGGAGCUUUUCUUCGGAACAUCGGAGACAGGUGGUGCAUGGUUGUCGUCAGCUCGUGUCGUGAGAUGUUGGGUUAAGUCCCGCAACGAGCGCAACCCUUAUCUUUAGUAGCCAGCGGUUUGGCCGGGCACUCUAGAGAGACUGCCAGGGAUAACCUGGAGGAAGGUGGGGAUGACGUCAAAUCAUCAUGCCCCUUAUGAUCAGGGCUACACACGUGCUACAAUGGCGUAAACAAAGGGAAGCAGAGCCGCGAGGCCGAGCAAAUCUCAAAAAUAACGUCUCAGUUCGGAUUGUAGUCUGCAACUCGACUACAUGAAGCUGGAAUCGCUAGUAAUCGCGAAUCAGAAUGUCGCGGUGAAUACGUUCCCGGGUCUUGUACACACCGCCCGUCACACCAUGGGAGUCGAUAAUGCCCGAAGUCGGUGACCCAACCUAACGGAGGGAGCCGCCGAAGGCAGGAUUGAUAACUGGGGUGAAGUCGU